rnacentral:rRNA from 1 species
CCUACGGGGGGCUGCAGUGAGGAAUAUUGGUCAAUGGACGCAAGUCUGAACCAGCCAUGCCGCGUGAAGGAUGAAGGCCUUCUGGGUUGUAAACUUCUUUUAUUGGGGAAGAAAAUUACGGUUUCUACUGUAACCGACGGUACCCAAUGAAUAAGCACCGGCUAACUCCGUGCCAGCAGCCGCGGUAAUACGGAGUGUGCAAGCGUUAUCCGGAUUCACUGGGGUGUAAGCGUGCUAUUAAGUCAUAUUAGAAAUCUCCGGGCUCAACCCGGAAACUGCCAUUGAUACUAUUAGUCUUGAAUCUCGUUGAGGUAGGCGGAAUAUAUCAUGUAGCGGUGAAAUGCAUAGAUAUGAUAUAGAACACCGAUUGCGAAGGCAGCUUGCUAAACGAUGAUUGACGCUGAGGCACGAAAGCGUGGGGAUCAAACAGGAUUAGAUACCCCAGUAGUC